rnacentral:rRNA from 1 species
GACGAACGCUGGCGGCGUGCUUAACACAUGCAAGUCGAACGGGCGUAGCGAUACGUCAGUGGCGGACGGGUGAGUAACACGUGAACAAUCUGCCUCAGACUGGGGGAUAACACUGAGAAAUCAGUGCUAAUACCGCAUAAGACCACGAUUUCGCAUGGGAAAGUGGUAAAAGGGAAUACCGGUAUGAGAUGAGUUCGCGUCCCAUUAGGUAGUUGGCGGGGUAACGGCCCACCAAGCCAGCGAUGGGUAGCCGACCUGAGAGGGUGAUCGGCCACACUGGAACUGAGACACGGUCCAGACUCCUACGGGAGGCAACAGUGGGGAAUAUUGGGCAAUGGAGGAAACUCUGACCCAGCAACGCCGCGUGAGUGAAGAAGGUCUUCGGAUUGUAAACCUCUGUUCUUGGGGAAGAGGAGGAGACGGUACCCAAGGAGGAGCCCGGCUAACUACGUGCCAGCAGCCGCGGUAAG